rnacentral:miRNA from 1 species
GUGUGUGUGUGUGUGUGUGUGUGUGUGUGUGUAUGGACUCAGCAGUGUGAGUCCAUACACACACACACACACACACUGCCGA